UCUUUUGAUUUCCUCACGAAGCUUGUUUGACUGAGAUUUCCCUGGGUUUUGUUUCCUUAAGACAGCUUGAUUUACAACAUCUAUUCCCUCCGUUUCUUCUUCAUUCCCAAACACCUGAAAUCUGUUGCCAUCCUGAUUCCCCUUUCUCUUUUCAUCCUGAUUUUUAGGAUUACCAUGAUUAAAACGUUGCCUUCUCUGGACUAGCAUCCAUAGCCUAAAUUUUUCACUUUCGGCUUCAGAUCUUUUUUCAGGUUCCUUAUUUUGAGGUGUGGGUCUUCCUGGACAUCCUCCCUUUCUUGAUUAGGUUGAGUCAAUUCAUUCUCCGAGUUUAAUUUGUCAUCUGUUUGGCAUUCAGCUUCGACAUUUUCUUGACUUUUUAGUAUGCACAGUGUUGUUCUGUGUCCCACCAUUCCGCAAUUAAAGUAGACCAAAAGAACACCUUCGUAUUCGAUACUAAAGAUAGUGUUACCAAUACGGAUCUUGGAAAGUAACAGUUUGCUUAAAUCGACCUCCACGCAUAUUCUAUCAAAUUUUCCUCUUGUUGACCAAGUUGUUCUAUAGUUGAUCUUUAUCGAAGUGCCUAUCAUUUUCCCGAUGUUAACCAAUAUACCCUCAUCAAAGUAUUCCAUUGGGAGACCCGGAAUGUGAACCCAAAUGGCAGUAGACUGAAUCCUGGCACUAUUGGUUAAGAAAUGUGGACGCCAUUUUUGGACCUUUAAGUAAUGGUCCAUUAUCUUUCACGGACCCUCCGUCAGGACUUUCAGCCUGUCAUUCAUGUUUUGAAGCUUAACAACGUAGAACCCACUGCCAAGAUCGAUGCAAUCAAAAUCACCUUCUAGUUUCCACAUGGAAGUUAUUCUACUGAUUAGUGUUUUGUGUCUUGAUUGUGGGAAUUUCAUCUUCUUCCAUCUCAUUUUUUUCAUCAGAAUCUACUUCCUCCUCUAUUUUUUUGGAGUUUUGAAAGAUUCCAGAAAAAAAUAGACAUUUUCUCCGCCAUAGUCACCACGGUGACGGGCAGAAACUUCGCUUGAGGAGGUGACACAAUAGCCAGAAACAAGAAAGCUCCCAGAAGAGAAAAUUCACAUAUACGGUCAUCCAAAUGUGAAUUGGUUACAAAUGUAUUUAAUUUAGUUCAUAAAUCAUAUUCAAGUUUUUUUUUCAUAAUUAUGU